rnacentral:rRNA from 1 species
UACGGGGGGAGCAAGCGUUGUUCGGAUUUACUGGGCGUAAAGGGCGCGUAGGCGACCAGCACAAGUCAGUUGUGAAAUCUCCGAGCUUAACUCGGAAAGGUCAACUGAUACUGUGCGGCUAGAGUGCGGAAGGGGCAACUGGAAUUCUUGGUGUAGCGGUGAAAUGCGUAGAUAUCACAUAGAACACCAAUUGCGAAGGCAGCUCACUACACAAUCAUUGACGCUGAGGCACGAAAGCGUGGGGAUCAAACAGG